rnacentral:ncRNA from 1 species
CAGCAGGGGCGCUGGCGCAAGCCGGCUGAGAAUGUGCGUAUCGCCGCGCGAGUCCCUUAUACCUGAUCCGGGUAAUGCCGGCGUAGGAAGCA